AGAAUCAACGCUGGCGGCGUGCCUAACACAUGCAAGUCGCACGAGAAAGGGUAGCAAUACCUGAGUACAGUGGCGCACGGGUGAGUAACACGUGAAUAAUCUACCUCCGAGUGGGGAAUAACUGAGAGAAAUCUUAGCUAAUACCGCAUAAUACCCACGGGUCAAAGCAGCAAUGCGCUUGGAGAGGAGUUCGCGGCAGAUUAGUUAGUUGGCGGGGUAAUGGCCCACCAAGACGAUGAUCUGUAUCCGGCCUGAGAGGGCGCACGGACACACUGGAACUGAAACACGGUCCAGACUCCUACGGGAGGCAGCAGUGGGGAAUUUUGCGCAAUGGGGGAAACCCUGACGCAGCAACGCCGCGUGGAGGAUGAAGCCCCUUGGGUGUAAACUCCUUUCGAUCGGGAAGAUAAUGACGGUACCGAUAUAAGAAGCCCGGCUAACUUCGUGCCAGCAGCCGC
rnacentral:rRNA from 1 species